GAGUUUGAUUCUGGCUCAGGAUGAACGCUGGCGGCAUGCCUAACACAUGCAAGUUGAACGAGAAGUUCUGGAGGGAGUCUUCGGACGAACGAAGGAAUGGAAAGUAGCGAACGGGUGAGUAACGCGUGGGCAACCAACCUUACACAGGGGGAUAACACAGAGAAAUCUGUGCUAAUACCGCAUAAGCGCACAGUAUCACAUGAUACGGUGUGAAAAACUCCGGUGGUGUAAGACGGGCCCGCGUCUGAUUAGCUAGUUGGUGGGGUAAAAGCCUACCAAGGCGACGAUCAGUAGCCGACCUGAGAGGGUGAUCGGCCACAUUGGGACUGAGACACGGCCCAAACUCCUACGGGAGGCAGCAGUGGGGGAUAUUGCACAAUGGAGGAAACUCUGAUGCAGCAAUGCCGCGUGAAGGAAGACGGUUUUCGGAUUGUAAACUUCUAUCAGCAGGGAAGAAAAUGACGUACCUNNU
rnacentral:rRNA from 1 species